rnacentral:rRNA from 1 species
CCUACGGGGGGCAGCAGUUAGGAAUCUUGCGCAAUGGGCGAAAGCCUGACGCAGCCAUGCCGCGUGAAUGAUGAAGGUCUUAGGAUUGUAAAAUUCUUUCAGCGGGGAAGCGGUACCCGCAGAAGAAGCUCCGGCUAACUUCGUGCCAGCAGCCGCGGUAAUACGAAGGGGGCUAGCGUUGCUCGGAAUUACUGGGCGUAAAGGGCGCGUAGGCGGAUGACUAAGUCGGGGGUGAAAGCCCGGGGCUCAACCCCGGAACUGCCUUCGAUACUGGUCAUCUUGAGUUCGGGAGAGGUGUGUGGAACUCCGAGUGUAGAGGUGAAAUUCGUAGAUAUUCGGAAGAACACCAGUGGCGAAGGCGACACACUGGCCCGAACUGACGCUGAGGCGCGAAAGCGUGGGGAGCAAACAGGAUUAGAUACCCUUGUAGUC